rnacentral:rRNA from 1 species
UACGGAGGAUGCAAGCGUUAUCCGGAUUUAUUGGGUUUAAAGGGUGCGCAGGUGGUUUUAUAAGUCAGUGGUGAAAGUCUGGCGCUUAACGUUAGGAUUGCCAUUGAUACUGUAGGACUUGAGUAUGGAUGAGGUAGGUGGAAUGUGUAGUGUAGCGGUGAAAUGCAUAGAUAUUACACAGAACGCCGAUUGCGAAGGCAGCUUACUAAUCCAUGACUGACGCUGAGGCACGAAAGCGUGGGGAUCAAACAGG